UUCAAAAAUGGAUAUGGGUUUUUUUAAGGGGGGGGGAUGACAGUUUGGUUGUGGGGAAGAAUAAUAAAAAUAACAGGAGGAAGGGAGCGUUUGAGCUGAUUGCGGCUCUGUUGUAUGGGUCAGGCCGCAAAAGAUGCGGGGCUUUUUUGUUUGACCAAAGAAACCAUUUCAUGUGGUGGGAACCUUUAAGGAGAGGGACACAGCCCCCAAAAUAACACAGCAGGGAGCUGGAAAUGAGCUUUGUGGUACACCAGGGGUUGUCAAACUCCGGCAAUGUGGGCUACCUGUUAAUAGUGAAAUAGUUAAUAGUGAAUGCAUCCGAUGAAGUGAGCUGUAGCUCACGAAAGCUCAUGCUCAAAUAAAUUGGUUAGUCUCUAAGGUGCCACAAGUACUCCUUUUCUUUUUGCGAAUACAGACUAACACGGCUGAUACUCUGAAACCUGUUAAUAGUGAGGACAUCUCCCCUCUCAACACCAUCCCAUUUGCAGUCAGGCAUCAGCCCUGUGCAACUACUAUAAUAGCUUAUGUGGAAAAGUAAAAUGAGGAAAGUAUUGAGGUAGAGUUAAUAUCUUUAAUGCAAUGUAUGUUUGGUUUUUUGGUUUUUUUUUUUUUUUUAAACCGAUCACACCUCAGUUUUCACUCUACACUUCUCCCUUUCUCUCACCUCUGGUACCUGGCAUAUAAUUUUCUGUAAUCAGGUCCCUUUCUUCUCCACUCCUCUGCACCAGCUGCCCGAUUCCCUUCUGCUUUGAACAUUCCUUUCCCUAUGGAGGUUUCUGGUCCCAUUGGCAACUCCUAGUUCCACUCCUGAUGGUGGCUGGUGACUCCCCUUUCAUCUCAUCCUUCUCCUAUGUAGCAGUCUCUUCUAAUAGAGAUGGCUAGGCUGGCUCCUCCUCCUUGUUUAAGCUGCUUUUAUAGGCAUUCAGGCAAUGGGAAACGAGGAAAAGCCAGCACCCUGUGACUUUCCAACUCUCCGCAGAUUACCAGCAUGGACAUACUCCAUUUUACUUAACCAGUUUCACCAUCAUGUUCUAUAAUAAACAGUGUGAUAUAAACACUAGGGUAGGAGUGUGGGGGGUAGAAGUAAAUUUGGUUAUGAUUGAGAGAUCAAGCCUGUCUGGCUUAAAUGUAGCUUUAGCCCAUUCUUCACUGUCACUGAUGAUCCAAAUAGUUGUUAAGGAUAAAUUUGGGUGAUAUUAUGCCUGGUUUUACUGUUGGUGCACCUCCAGCAGGACACACAUCAGUCACUAAAGAAAGCCCAUUCACAGUGCUGUUCCAGCUGAUACUUAAAUGUCUGAAUGAUGUAUUUAAAAUGUUAACAUGAACAAGAUGACAGCAGUACAAGGAACAUUCUGCCGGUAGUGAUGAUGGGAUAAUUAGCAAUAACUCAGCAACCCAGAAGCAAAAAAACAACCACCCCCCGAAUUUAUUUUAUUUAAAAGGCCUGAAAAUGUUACCACUCCAUAUAUAUAGAGAGAGAGAUACAAUAAUUAAAUAUUAUUGAAGAACAUUCACUGAACCAGGAAAGAUGAGUUUGUCUGACACCUUUGGGAGUUCUCAGAUUUAAGUACCACUCUAGAUAUAUCCAAACACAGCAGCUGAAAGCACAGAAGUUAUCCAUAUUUUACAAAGAUAAACGUAUUGCAGAAAGGAAGAUGUCCAGGAGGGGGAGCAGUUGACAAAGAAUAGAGAGAAGAACAUACAUAGAAGAGAAUCCUCACCUAUGAUUAAUGAAAUAUUUAUUCUCUGCCUGUGAACCAUAUGCUCGCACAGCUUCAUCCUCAGAAAGCAGAGGAAUUCGGUAGUGCAGAUACUAAGAGGAGCUCUCUCUGUUAUUAUGACUUCCUAGAAAGUAUUUCUGGCAUAACUAAACACCUGCUGCUGUACCACCUCAUGCUGUGAUUUUGUCUGCUCUUACAAGCGCUAUCUUCCUCAAGGAUAAUGCUGCAGGAAGUGGGACUGGUGAUUCAGCAGGUGUCAGUCUUCCCUCUGAGUGAGUACUGACCCAAUGUCUCACCAUGAUGUUAGGGGACAAUGCACUGCUGGAUAUGCUGUUUUGGGUAUGAUGUACACCCAAGAUCCUGAUAGUUUGUUGUCAUUAAAGAUGACAUGGCACAUUUUUUUUACAGGAGCAGGUAUGUGAACCCCGAUGUCUUGUCUAAAUUCCAGUGCAGCUAAUUGAGAACAUAAGAACUGCCAUACUGGGUCAGACCAAAGGUCCAUAUAGCCCCGUAUCCUGUCUUCCGACGGUAGCCAAUGACGAGUGCUUCAGAGGGAAUGAACAGAUGAGGUAAUCAUCAAGUGAUCCAUCCCCUGCGCCCAUUCCCAGCUUCUGGCAAAGAGGCUAGGGACAUAAUCCCUUCCAAUAUUGACUAAUAAUUAGAUUCUGCCUGCCUAAAUUUCUCUUGCAGUUUAGAGUAAUGGCAUUAGAAUCAGACCCAUAGGUAUUUCACCCAGUGGUACACUGGUGAAUGAUAUAAGAAACUGCACCAGCCACAUGGUCACAUACAUUUCCUUUAAUCAAGGGCAUUUUGUGCUCUUAUGCCAAUGGAUUUGGACUGCAAAUAUCUGAACCAUGAGGGGAAUCAGUUGCUGGAUGCCAAAUAUCUGAACCAUGUGGGUGGGGUUUAGAGGGAUGUGUUGUUUUCCAUCGGAACUAAAUAUGGUCUCACAGCGGAAACACUACAUUGUGCCCCUAGAAGGACUGAACCUGUGAUCACAGCUGAAAUUUCUGUUGAGUUUGAAGACAUGAAAAUAUGAGUAGUAAUAAUUUUAGAGAAAAAUAUCUGAAAUCUGCCAGUCAGGUUAGAGGUGGCUAGGUGGUAGAGUGGAAAUUAUUUGAAUACCCCUUUUAAAAGAUUUUACAGCAGGUGCCCAGCAGGUGGCAUCAUCUCCUCAAACAGACUAUAAAAAAAUGGAAUGUCAAUCUGCUCUAUUUACCCAAGUGCUGCUUUGUUGGUGGUAUUUUAUGUAAUUCCCCUCGUGUUCUAAUAAACUGGUUAAUGAGAAGAGAAAAGUAAUGGCUUUGGAUCUUCAGGUUGUUAUCCAGAGAAUGAGUAGCAAAGGGUUACUGAAGCAAGCAAUACAUGAUUAAAAUACAAGUGUAAAAAAAAUCUCAGAGCGUUAGAAAUCUCUAAUUUCUUAAACUCCAUGUGUUGAUCCAAAAGAAAAUAUGUAAUCGUUUUGUAGUAGCUGGGACUGACACCUGCCAGAAGCCACAACACACAUCUGAACAGUUUCAGUAACACCCAGGAACCACAACCAAGAUUGGGACCCCCAGUGCCAGGUGUUUUAUCAACACAUGAGGUCAGGAGCCCCAUCCCAAAAAGCUAACAAUAAGAUGUCUUUGAACACUUGCAGAUGACCUCUAUCUGUUUGAGUGAACAAGUAAUCCAUCAAAGCAGUCUUGAUGCAGACUCUAUCAUAGAACUGCCCCUGUCAGCGACAGAGCAAUGAGUGCACAUGAUUGUGCUUUUCCCCAAUCCACAGGAAGUUUCGCCUUGUAGGAGCAGGAUAUUCUUUAUGGCAAAUACUUGCAGCAUGUGGCAUUGUGUAUAUAAUCUUCCUGACAACAUUGAUGCUAUUACGAUAUAGAGAUCUGAGUCCACAUUCAGCCCAAGUAAGCAGGUGUAAUGUCAGUGAAGCCAAUAGAGUCUUCCUACUCCAGGACUGAACUUGACCCAGAAUUUUUAUGUCUGCUACCUGGAUGAUGAUGUAACAAAGAACAAAAGAGGAAAUACUUGUGGGAGGAAAGGGUUUUAUAUCCCAUGUUUUUAGAGUGUUAUGAACUUUUAUAUCUGUGGAAGGAUUUUAGCCAUUUGAAAAGUCCUGUUUCUCUCUGUCCCUUUUCAGCUUGCUGAUUCCCCCCCCCCCCCCCCCCCAGGUAAUACAAUGUUCUGUGAAGCCCAGCUGCUUCAUUAUUAGUGUCAGACAUUGUGAAGUGUUGCAUAAAAUAAUUCAUUAUCUCAAGCAUCUUGCUGGUUUUAAUUCAGUACAGUUACAAAUGAUAUACAUUCACCUUAUGUUGAUAUAUACAAAUUAGUUUCCACUAGGGCUGUCAAGCGAUUAAAAAAAAUAAUCGCGCAAUUAAUCGC